UACGGGGGGGGCAAGCGUUGUUCGGAAUUACCGGGCGUAAAGGGCUCGUAGGCGGCCAACUAAGUCAGACGUGAAAUCCCUAGGCUCAACCUAGGAACUGCGUCUGAUACUGGAUGGCUUGAAUCCGGGAGAGGGAUGCAGAAUUCCAGGUGUAGCGGUGAAAUGCGUAGAUAUCUGGAGGAAUACCGGUGGCGAAGGCGGCAUCCUGGACCGGCAUUGACGCUGAGGAGCGAAAGCCAGGGGAGCAAACGGG
rnacentral:rRNA from 1 species